GACGUAGGUGGCGAACGUUUAUCCGGAAUCAUUGGGCGUAAAGGGUGCGUAGAUGGCCUGAUAAGUUAGCAGUGGGAAAUCGAGGCUCAACCUCGUGGAAGCUGGUAAUACUGUUAGGCUCGAGUGCAGGAGAAGUUAAUGGAACUCCAUGUGGAGCGGUAAAAUGUGUAGAUAUAUGGAAGAACAUCAAUAACGGCGAAGGCAGUUAAACUAUUCUGUUACUGACGUUUGAGGCACGAAAGCGUGGGGAGCAAAACGGG
rnacentral:rRNA from 1 species